rnacentral:rRNA from 1 species
GAUGAACGUUGGCGGUGUGCCUAAUACAUGCAAGUCGAACGGAGUUAGUAGCAAUACUGGCUCAGUGGCGAACGGGUGAGUAACGCGUUGGUGAUCUGCCUUGAAGUGUGGAAUAACGUUUCGAAAGAGACGCUAAUACCGCAUGUGCUCUCGAUUUUCAGAAAGUUGAGAGUAAAGGAUUUAUUCGCUUCAAGAGGAGCCUGCGUCCCAUCAGCUGGUUGGUAGGGUAACGGCCUACCAAGGCUAUGACGGGUAGGGGACCUGAGAGGGUCGGCCCCCCACAAUGGAACUGAAACACGGUCCAUACACCUACGGGUGGCAGCAGUAGGGAAUAUUAGAAAUGGACGAAAGUCUGAUCUAGCAACACCGCGUGUGCGAAGAAGGCCUUCGGGUCGUAAAGCACUUUUUGGAAGGAAUAGGAAGGAAUGUACUUCCAGAAUAAGUCUCGGCUAACUACGUG